GCACUGCUGAAGAGUCCCGCGAUAGGACAAAACAGCCGUCCAGUGC
rfam:Schistosoma curassoni strain Dakar, Senegal genome assembly, scaffold: SCTD_scaffold0016414